CCUACGGGGGGCAGCAGUGAGGAAUAUUGGUCAAUGGACGAGAGUCUGAACCAGCCAAGUAGCGUGAAGGAUGACUGCCCUAUGGGUUGUAAACUUCUUUUAUAUGGGAAUAAAAUGUUCCACGUGUGGGAUUUUGUAUGUACCAUAUGAAUAAGGAUCGGCUAACUCCGUGCCAGCAGCCGCGGUAAUACGGAGGAUCCGAGCGUUAUCCGGAUUUAUUGGGUUUAAAGGGAGCGUCGGUGGAUUGUUAAGUCAGUUGUGAAAGUUUGCGGCUCAACCGUAAAAUUGCAGUUGAAACUGGCAGUCUGGAGUACAGUAGAGGUGGGCGGAAUUCGUGGUGUAGCGGUGAAAUGCUUAGAUAUCACGAAGAACUCCGAUUGCGAAGGCAGCUCACUGGACUGCAACUGACACUGAGGCUCGAAAGUGUGGGUAUCAAACAGGAUUAGAUACCCCAGUAGUC
rnacentral:rRNA from 1 species